rnacentral:lncRNA from 1 species
GAUCCUUCCUCGGACGGCGGGGAAUGGGAUCACUGAUGUCCUGGCUGGCCUCACCAGGGACAUCCGACCCCCAACGAAUAGCUUCCGCCGUGUUUUUGCUUUCUGUUGCUUUCUUUCAACCUUUGUAAAACUCUGAUUUUAACUAGUAUGUAAUACACUGUUAAACCAAUGGUGGAUCUGUUGUAUUCUCUAGAACCACUCACCUUCGUGUGGGUUAUGCUAAUU